rnacentral:rRNA from 1 species
AGGGAAUAUUGGACAAUGGGGGCAACCCUGAUCCAGCAAUGCCGCGUGAGUGAUGAAGGCCUUAGGGUUGUAAAGCUCUUUUACCCGGGAUGAUAAUGACAGUACCGGGAGAAUAAGCACCGGCUAACUCUGUGCCAGCAGCCGCGGUAAGACAGAGGGUGCUAGCGUUGUUCGGAAUUACUGGGCGUAAAGGGCGCGUAGGCGGCUCGUUUAGGCGGGUGUGAAAUCCCAAGGCUCAACCUUGGAACUGCAUUCGAUACUGGCGGGCUAGAGACCGGAAGAGGUGGGUGGAAUACCCAGUGUAGAGGUGAAAUUCGUAGAUAUUGGGUGGAACACCGGUGGCGAAGGCGGCUCACUGGUCCGGUUCUGACGCUGAGGCGCGAAAGCGUGGGGAGCAAA